UGUGAACAAGUUAACUCUAGCUAAUAAUCUUUUCUUCCCCUGUGUUUCUAAAAAUGUGUGUUCUGCUGUCAAAAAGAAGUGGUAUUCCUACUUGAUCAGAUGGAGAAACCUGCUGUUCACAUUUCAAAUAGGCUAACUUACACAAAGAGGCCACGAUGCUGAUAAAAGUGCAAUUUGGAGGCAAGAAAAAAUAUAUUAAACUGGAAGAAGAUUGUUUCUUGGAUUUUUUCAGUGCGGUCCAGCACAAGUUUGUGAUACCAGAGGAGACAGCAUCAAAAGUCACAGGUGACCAUGGAGUUGUUUUUUAAAUGGGGAUGUAUUUCAAGAACUUGCAACAACCAAAGAAACAUGUCAUCCACACUAAUGAUGAUUUGACUGUCCUGCAGCAAGGGGCUGUUGAAGUGCCUUCCUCCCCAAGUCUGACAGAUUCAUUGUCUGUGUCAAGCAGUUUGAGCAGCAGUGAUUCUGGAUCUCAAAUUAUUCAACCUUUAAUGGGCAGUGUCCAAAAAAAUAAAAUCGAGCAAAUUCUAACUUCAAAGACAGCAGAGUUGACUGUGAUUAAGGAGUAUGACAAGAUAUUUUUUUGCUGCUUUUGAUUCCUGUGAAGUUAAUUUUAUAUAAUGUAAUGUGUUGAUUGUCUCAUGCAAUUUUACUAAGCCAUUGGUUUUAGUUGGCACUAGCUGCUAACAUAUAUUAAUUGUAAAUGUUUUGCUGUUAGAUUUAAUGCUGUGAUGACAAUUAAUUUCAAAGUGUGUACAUCGAUGGAAAUUCUAAAUCUAAUGUGUGGAUUUGCAUGAAUAAAAGCAGUAAGUAAA